rnacentral:rRNA from 1 species
ACGGGUGAGUAAUACAUCGGAACGUGCCCAGUAGUGGGGGAUAGCUCGGCGAAAGCCGGAUUAAUACCGCAUACGACCUACGGGUGAAAGCGGGGGACCGCAAGGCCUCGCGCUAUUGGAGCGGCCGAUGUCAGAUUAGCUAGUUGGUGGGGUAAAGGCCUACCAAGGCAACGAUCUGUAGCUGGUCUGAGAGGACGACCAGCCACACUGGGACUGAGACACGGCCCAGACUCCUACGGGAGGCAGCAGUGGGGAAUUUUGGACAAUGGGGGCAACCCUGAUCCAGCCAUGCCGCGUGCGGGAAGAAGGCCUUCGGGUUGUAAACCGCUUUUGUCAGGGAAGAAACGCGCUGAGCUAAUACCUCGGCGUAAUGACGGUACCUGAAGAAUAAGCACCGGCUAACUACGUGCCAGCAGCCGCGGUAAUACGUAGGGUGCAAGCGUUAAUCGGAAUUACUGGGCGUAAAGCGUGCGCAGGCGGCUUUGCAAGACAGAUGUGAAAUCCCCGGGCUCAACCUGGGAACCGCAUUUGUGGCUGCAUGGCUAGAGUGCGGCAGAGGGGGAUGGAAUUCCGCGUGUAGCAGU